rnacentral:rRNA from 1 species
AUUGAACGCUGGCGGCAUGCUUUACACAUGCAAGUCGGACGAGUGGCGAACGGGUGAGUAACGCAUCGGAACGUACCGAGUAAUGGGGGAUAACUACGGGAAACUGUAGCUAAUACCGCGUACCAUAGGAUGAGCCCACGUGGGAUUAGGUAGUUGGUGGGGUAAAGGCUCACCAAGCCGACGAUCUCUAGCUGGUCUGAGAGGAUGACCAGCCACACUGGGACUGAGACACGGCCCAGACUCCUACGGGAGGCAGCAGUGGGGAAUAUUGCGCAAUGGGGGCAACCUGACGCAGCCAUGCCGCGUGAAUGAAGAAGGCCUUCGGGUUGUAAAGUUCUUUCGGUAGCGAGGCGUUAACUACAGAAGAAGCACCGGCUAACUCCGUGCCAGCAGCCGCGGUAAUAC